CGCCCUUCCUCUCCACUACUUAAGCACGACCCUUCCUUCCCUCAGGCUCUUCUAACAAAUUUCCAACUUCAAUUCCUCUUCGGCUCUUUUACCGUCGCUGCCCGUUCCGCUUUCAAUCUACCCAAUCAACAUUGCCAUAGCUGAGGGGAGCAGCAGGGGAAGAAGGAUAUGCGGAAGAAGGAUAUGUCGGUCACCAGGAUCAAUGUCAACUGCGGACCUUGGAUCUUCUCAACUUUAAUUUUGCACUUCACCGACUCUCUUGAGUUCAUCAUUGUGGAGUUUGUAGCAAUUUUGUUAUUGCUCUUGGUUUCCAUAUUUGCAGAAUGUACAUGGCCGCUCCAUCCCAUUCCACCCCCUAAAAGAGAGGUGGAUUUUCCAUAUAACAUGGGAGUUAGAGGGUCUCUCUUAUUGACACUAGCUGUCUAUUUUGCAUAAUAAAAUAUAAUAAAAAUUAUUUGUUUA